rnacentral:rRNA from 1 species
GGGAGGAAUGCUUACACAUGCAGUCGAUUCAAGUUACCUUCGGGUAAUGAGGAUGGCGGACGGGUGAGUAACGCGUAAGGAACUUGCCUCUUGGACUGGGACAACUGUUGGAAACGACAGCUAAUACCGGAUAUUAUGAGAUUCUCGCAUGAGAAACUUAUGAAAGCUAUAUGCGCCAAGAGAGAGCCUUGCGUUCCAUUAGCUAGUUGGUGGGGUAACGGCCCACCAAGGCGACGAUGGAUAGCCGGCCUGAGAGGGUGAACGGCCACAAGGGGACUGAGACACGGCCCUUACUCCUACGGGAGGCAGCAGUGGGGAAUAUUGGACAAUGGGCCACAAGCCUGAUCCAGCAAUUCUGUAUGCACGAUGAAGGUCUUCGGAUUGUAAAGUGCUUUCAGUUGGGAAGAAGAAAGUGACGGUACCAACAGAAGAAGCGACGGCUAAAUACGUGCCAGCAGCCGCGGUAAUACGUAUGUCGCAAGCGUUAUCCGGAUUUAUUGGGCGUAAAGCGCGUCUAGGCGGAAAAAUAAGUCUGAUGUUAAAAUGCGGGGGCUCACUCCGUAUUGCGUUGGAAACUGUUUUUCUAGAGUACUGGAGAGGUGGGCGGAACUACAAGUGUAGAGGUGAAAUUCGUAGAUAUUUGUAGGAAUGCCGAUGGAGAAGUCAGCUCACUGGACAGAUACUGACGCUGAAGCGCGAAAGCGUGGGGAGCAAACAGGAUUAGAUACCCUGGUAGUCCACGCCGUAAACGAUGAUCACUAGGUGUUUGGGGGUCGAACCUCAGCGCCCAAGCUAACGCGAUAAGUGAUCCGCCCUGGGGGAGUACGCACGCAAGU